rnacentral:lncRNA from 10 species
AUUAUAAAGAACCUUCUUAAGGGUGGCAGAGAUUACAAAGUACAUUGAUCAGUGAGGGUGGGGCAGAGACAAAUCACAAUGGUGGAAUGUCAUCAGUUAAGGCUAUUUUCACUUCUUUUGUGGAUCUUCAGUUGCUUCAGGCCAUGUGGAUGUAAACGUGCAGGUCACAGGGGAUAUGAUGGCUUAGCUUGGGCUCAGAGGCCUGACACAUACCACAUAAUAUUAUGUAAUACUACAGUUAGCAGAUUCAGUGUUCAUGGGACUGCAUCUCCACAAAAGGACAGCCUCCAUUUCCUUACAACAGAACUCUCCUUUGAGAAUUCAGUAUGUCACUUAUCAGCACCUUGAAGAUCUGGGUCACAGACCAAUUGCCACCAUGAUGAUUCAUCGCCUAGAAAAUGGCUACUAAUAGGAAGACACUCAGUGUAGUGACAAGCAAUGCAAUGUGGGUCUCCUUUGAACUUUCCUUUUGGAAGUUUCUUGAGGGGUCUUCUUCAUUGUGCAUAGCUCAGUGCCAAGCAAAUGCUGGGUAUUCGAUAAACAUUCCAUGAAUAAAUAAGUAAAUGAAGAUGAUAAAAAUCAACAGGUAAGCCUAAUUCUUUCUACUGAGAAGUGGCCAUUUUGCUCUUUUUCUCCUUAAAAAUGGUAGCUAUUUUGAAGCAUUUGAGAAAAUUAAACCUAUUUUGUCUUAGGCUGGGGUUAUAAUAUUUGAACACUAACCUGAUUACAAUAGGAACAAAGGUAAUAGCUUCAAAUUGAUUCUGCUACUUCCUUCAGCUCAACCUCAAAUCUGGUUAUUGUAUUGUCAUCCUAACAUCUAUUUUUGAUAUUUAAACUAUCUCUUUAUAAAUUCUGAAUUGUCAUACAAUGUAACCAAUAUUACAAGGAAAAGUCCCCUCUCUGAAAGCUUUAUGAAUCCCUCCCUAACACCCUACCUGAACAGUCCUGCGAUUGGCUGCCAAGCACUUCUUAUUUUGAUUUUCUAUAGAUACUUAAUGAGACUAAGGAGCAAAUCUUUGUAGUAAAACAUUUCAAAUGGCCCAGCUCUGCCUCCAUAAAUGUGCACCAAAACCUUAGAAACCAGUCAUGAGUCUGGCUCCAGGAAAACAUUUGGUGACAGGUGUGUAAAUUACUCCUUCUAAGAGAAAGAAUAGGGGGUUGAACAGUAACUGCCUGAUUCAGAGCUUAUGAAAUUCAAGGGAUUUUCUGUUGGGGAGACUUGAAUUUUGUUUUUUAAAAUCUAUACCUGAGAUGAACAUCAAUAAAUAGGGGAAGGUGACAUUAUUUGAUAAAAGAAAAAAAAAUAAAGCUAGAAUCAGAUCUGGAUCCUCCAGUCUACUACAUGGGGAAUCUUGUUUGACACUAGAACAUCAGGCUGUGU